rnacentral:rRNA from 1 species
AGAGUUUGAUCCUGGCUCAGGACGAACGCUGGCGGCGUGCCUAACACAUGCAAGUCGAGCGAGGGACUUCGGUCCCUAGCGGCGGACGGGUGAGUAACACGUGGGUAACCUGCCUCAUAGAGGGGGAUAGCCUCCCGAAAGGGAGAUUAAUACCGCAUAACAUCAUGCUGACACAUGUUAGUAUGAUCAAAGGAGUAAUCCGCUAUGAGAUGGGCCCGCGGCGCAUUAGCUAGUUGGUGAGGUAACGGCUCACCAAGGCGACGAUGCGUAGCCGACCUGAGAGGGUGAUCGGCCACAUUGGAACUGAGACACGGUCCAGACUCCUACGGGAGGCAGCAGUGGGGAAUAUUGCACAAUGGGCGAAAGCCUGAUGCAGCAACGCCGCGUGAGUGAAGAAGGCCUUCGGGUUGUAAAGCUCUGUCUUUUGGGACGAUAAUGACGGUACCAAAGGAGGAAGCCACGGCUAACUACGUGCCAGCAGCCGCGGUAAUACGUAGGUGGCAAGCGUUGUCCGGAUUUACUGGGCGUAAAGGAUGCGUAGGUGGAUAUUUAAGUGGGAUGUGAAAUACCCGGGCUCAACUUGGGUGCUGCAUUCCAAACUGGAUAUCUAGAGUGCAGGAGAGGAAAGUGGAAUUCCUAGUGUAGCAGUGAAAUGCGUAGAUAUUAGGAGGAACACCAGUGGCGAAGGCGGCUUUCUGGACUGUAACUGACACUGAGGCAUGAAAGCGUGGGGAGCAAACAGGAUUAGAUACCCUGGUAGUCCACGCCGUAAACGAUGGGUACUAGGUGUGGGAGUUGU